rnacentral:rRNA from 1 species
CGCUCUUCGCAAAAGGUUUUAGUGUAUGAGGAGUCCUGCCUGCCCAGUGACCUUUAGGUUAAACGGCCGCGGUAUUUUGACCGUGCAAAGGUAGCAUAAUCAUUUGCCUCUUAAAUAGAGGCUGGUAUGAAUGGCAAGACGGGGGUUUGACUGUCUCUUUCUUAGGAAGGUUGAAUUUGAUUUCUUUGUGAAGAAGCAGAGAUAAUAUCGUAGGACGAGAAGACCCUGUCGAGCUUAAGUAGUAGUAGUUAAGUAUUGGAAGUAUUUUUAUGCUAAUUUAUUCUCUGGAAGAGGGUAAAAAUUUUACAUAAAAUAUGAGUAUAUUAUAUUAUUUUAUACUUUGAUUGGGGCAAUCGCGGAGAAAAUGAAACCUCCGUUAUAAGUAAUAGUAUUUUAAAGAGACUUCUUUUGUAGUACAAGAAUGUGUGUUUAUGAUCCACAGAAAGUGAAUAAA